AGCGAACGCUGGCGGCAGGCUUAACACAUGCAAGUCGAGCGCCCCGCAAGGGGAGCGGCAGACGGGUGAGUAACACGUGGGAACGUACCCUUUGGUUCGGAACAACCCAGGGAAACUUGGGCUAAUACCGGAUAAGUCCGCGAGGAGAAAGAUUUAUCGCCGAAGGAUCGGCCCGCGUCUGAUUAGCUAGUUGGUGUGGUAACGGCGCACCAAGGCGACGAUCAGUAGCUGGUCUGAGAGGAUGAUCAGCCACACUGGGACUGAGACACGGCCCAGACUCCUACGGGAGGCAGCAGUGGGGAAUAUUGGACAAUGGGGCAACCCUGAUCCAGCCAUGCCGCGUGAGUGAUGAAGGCCCUAGGGUUGUAAAGCUCUUUCGGGGGGGAAGAUAAUGACGGUACCCACAGAAGAAGCCCCGGCUAACUUCGUG
rnacentral:rRNA from 1 species